GCUGAUGAUGUGUGGUCAGAUGCUGCAUCUGAUUGGCCUAUGUCCUAUGAAUCAGACGAGUUAGAGACUGAGUUUAAUGUUGACGAUAACGUGAUUGAUGGAUUUUGGUCAAAUGCUCUGACAGAAACUGACUCAAGUGAUGACGAAUUUGUUGAGUCUGCAGAGUGUCUUGGGGAGGAGCUCAGAGACUGGGCAAUAGACAGCCAAAUACCACAAUGCCAUCUAAAUGGGCUGUUGGGCAUCCUGAGAAAAUAUCAUCCAUAUCUCCCAAAGGAUGCCCGCACUCUUUUAGGCACUCCAACUAAUUAUGAGGUCCAGCAGAUGGCUGGUGGCACCAUGCAUUAUUUUGGAGUUGAGAAAGGCAUUAGGCAUGUGUUAAACCAGAUAGACCCUCUCCCAAAGGCCAUUCAUUUAAAAGUGAAUAUUGAUGGACUACCUUUGUUCAAAAGCAGCAAUAAGCAGUUCUGGCCCAUUCUAGGAUUGGUAGAGGAAGACAAAACAAAGCAACCAUUCGUCAUCGCUUUAUAUCUUGGAUCUAAAAAAACAGAGAAUGUCAAUCUGUUCCUAGAAUCAUUUGUGAAUGAAUAUGGAAAGCUUAAAUUAGAGGGUGUGGAUGUAAUUGGCAAAUGUGUAGACAUUAAAAUUUCAAAUUUUGUUUGCGAUGCAAGUGCGAGGGCUUUCGUAAAAAACAUUAAAGCCCACAAUGCAUACCACGGCUGUGAAAAAUGCACACAGGAGGGAACAUGGGCGGAAAAUUGCAUGACUUUUCCUGAAGUUGAUUCACGUUUACGGACAGAUACGUCUUUUAUUAAUAAAGACGAUGAGUUUCACCAUAAAGGGACCAGUGUGUUGACAAGGGUUGGAAUUGGUAUGGUCUCCCAAUUUCCAUUAGAUGUUAUGCACCUGGUUUUUCUUGGGGUUGUGAGAAAGUUGAUAGGGUUUUGGAUGAGGGGACCUCUUCCAACUCGUUUAGGUGCUCAUCAGAUAGGCCAAAUUUCUGCAGUGCUUAUGUCCUUUGCCAUGAGACUACCCAGAGAGUUUGCACGGAAAGGGAGAUCCCUUGUUGAGGUAGAUAGGUGGAAAGCAACAGAGUUCAGAACUUUUCUCCUGUACACUGGUCCAGAAGCACUGAAAGACCAUCUGCCGAAUGUUCUAUACCACAAUUUUAUGCUUCUGCGUGUAGCCAUUCGAAUAUUAUGCUGCCCCU
ensembl:lncRNA